rnacentral:rRNA from 1 species
AGUGAACGCUGGCGGUAGGCCUAACACAUGCAAGUCGAACGGCAGCACAGUAAGAGCUUGCUCUUACGGGUGGCGAGUGGCGGACGGGUGAGGAAUACAUCGGAAUCUACUUUUUCGUGGGUGAUAACGUAUGGAAACUUACGCUAAUACCGCAUACGACCUACGGGUGAAAGCAGGGGAUCUUCGGCCCUUGCGCGAUUGAAUGAGCCGAUGCCGGAUUAGCUAGUUGGCGGGGUAAAGGCCCACCAAGGCGACGAUCCGUAGCUGGUCUGAGAGGAUGAUCAGCCAAACUGGAACUGAGACACGGUCCAGACUCCUACGGGAGGCAGCAGUGGGGAAUAUUGGACAAUGGGCGCAAGCCUGAUCCAGCCAUACCGCGUGGUGAAGAAGGCCUUCGGGUUGUAAAGCCCUUUUGUUGGGAAAGAAAAGCAGCAGGUUAAUACCCCGCUGUUCUGACGGUACCCAAAGAAUAAGCACCGGCUAACUUCGUG